rnacentral:RNase_P_RNA from 1 species
CGUAAAAGACGCGGGCGCCGCGGCCCCGAAAGUGUUCGGGGUUGCGGUGACGGAAAGUGUCACAGAAAAGACACCGCCGGUUCUUUGCAAUACAAGGCACAGGCAAGGUUGAAAAGGCGAGGUAAGAGCUCACCGCUCGCGGAGCAAUUCGCGAGGCAGGAAAAACCCCAUGCGGUGCAAGACAAAACAGAGGGAGGACAGCCGGUCCGUCGAUCCUCGGGUUCGUCGCAUCACGGUCCCGCCACUGCGGGAUCGGGCGGUUCCGCGAAGGCGGGAUUGAGAUAAAUGAUCAUCGCCCAGCUUCUUUGCUCGCAAAGAGCUGUGGGACAGAAUUCGGCUUACCGCCGUCAAAUAUG